rnacentral:rRNA from 1 species
CAAGUAGAUGGUGAAAUCUGGUGGCUCAACCAUUCAGACUAUUAUCUAAACUACUAAGCUCGAGACCGUUAGGGGUAGCUGGAAUUUCUAGUGUAGGAGUGAAAUCCGUAGAUAUUAGAAAGAACACCGAUAGCGUAGGCAGGCUACUGGGACGGUUCUGACACUAAGGCACGAAAGCGUGGGGAGCAAACGGGAUUAGAUACCCCGGUAGUCCACGCUGUAAACGAUGGAUGCUA